rnacentral:rRNA from 1 species
ACGUUGAAAAACCGGUUUCCGUACAAUCACCGAAGUUAAACAAUGUCGAGUCUGGUCAGUAUCCAGAUGGGUAACCGCUUUGGAAUAUCAGGUGCUGUAAU